UGGGGAAUAUUGGACAAUGAGGGGAACCUUGAUCCAGCAAUACCGCGUGUGUGAAGAAGGCCUGCGGGUUGUAAAGCACUUUCAGCUGGGAAGAAGGGCUAUAGUUUAAGAGAUAAUAGUUUUGACGUUACCAGCAGAAGAAGCACCGGCUAACUCUGUGCCAGCAGCCGCGGUAAUACAGAGGGUGCAAGCGUUAAUCGGAAUUACUGGGCGUAAAGCGUGCGUAGGUUGUUAUAUAAGUUAGGUGUGAAAUCCUGGAGCUCAACUUCAGAAUUGCGCUUAAUACUGUAUAACUAGAGUCUUGGAGGGGAUAGUGGAAUUUCCGGUGUAGCGGUGAAAUGCGUAGAUAU
rnacentral:rRNA from 1 species